CCUGAGGGGUGGGAGGUGGGGACUCAUUGUGCACAGCAGUGGAGAAGAGGGAGGGGCAGGAGAGGUGGGUGAUGCCAGGCAGCAGCAGCAGUGAUGGGGCCACGACGUCACAGAGCAAGCUUCGUCUUCUCCCAGACCCUGGCUGGAGCCUCUGUGGCUUGGGGUGGGCAGUGGGGAGAACCCACCCCACGCCCUCCCCAUCCCUUCCCCAGACAGUCUCCUUGUGGGCUCAACCCAUGUCUUCUGACAGGAGCCUGAGGCACACGGAGAGGAGGAAGUGGAAGAGGACACGGGAGAGGCAGGGUGGUGGCAGGAAUGAAGACAGAGGGACAGGAUCUUCAGGAGGCCAACCUUGACCAGAAAGCUGCUGUCGCUGUCCUGGGUGACCAUGAUCAUGAAGCUUCUCAUCAAAACAGACGUGGCUCUGGGAGUGUUACAGGCCGAGAAAAUGGGGGUUGUGACCAACUCAGUAUACCACUGGAGUCUAUAUGAGUAAACGCAACCGACAGCAACAUGGGAGCCCUCUGUAUCAUGGUCUGCCACAAAGCAGAGCGGAUACUCCUCUGGACCCCGGGCUUGUUGCCCUUGUUGGCUGCAGCCAUGGACGCCCUCCCUGCCACCCAGCUCCUGCCAGACACCGCCACUCACACUCAGCAGCCUCCCAUGUUCCAGGGAAACCAGAAGGAGCCUUGCAGGGUGCACCCAGGGCCGGGCAGGGCAGGGAUGACCCAGGCUCAGCUGCAGGAGCUCUAUGCCAAGCACGAGGAAGAACCAGCCCAUAUUUUUAAUUUUUUUUUUUUUUUGAGAUGGAGUCUCUCAC